rnacentral:rRNA from 1 species
AACGCGAAAGUCCCCUCUCGGGGGACAAGUAGAGUGGCGCACGGGUGAGUAACACGUAGGUAAUCUACCUUUGGAUGGGGAAUAACAACCGGAAACGGUUGCUAAUACCGCAUAAUGCAGCGGCACCUAAUGGUGACAGUUGUUAAAGCGGGGGAUCGAAAGACCUCGCGUCUGAAGAGGAGCCUGCGGCGGAUUAGCUAGUUGGUAAGGUAAUGGCUUACCAAGGCUACGAUCCGUAACCGGCCUGAGAGGGCGGUCGGUCACACUGACACUGACAUACGGGUCAGACUCCUACGGGAGGCAGCAGUCGGGAAUUUUGGGCAAUGGGCGAAAGCCUGACCCAGCAACGCCGCGUGAAGGAUGAAAUCCCUCGGGAUGUAAACUUCGCAAGAACAGGAAGAAUAAGUAGGGGACAAUACCCCCUAUGAUGACGGUACUGUUUGUAAGCUCCGGCUAACUCCGUGCCAGCAGCCGCGGUAAUACGGGGGGAGCAAGCGUUGUUCGGAUUUACUGGGCGUAAAGGGCGCGUAGGCGGCCAGCGCAGGUCAGUUGUGAAAUCUCCGAGCUUAACUCGGAAAGGUCAACUGAUACUGCGCGGCUAGAGUGCAGAAGGGGCAACUGGAAUUCUUGGUGUAGCGGUGAAAUGCGUAGAUAUCAAGAGGAACACCUGCGGCGAAGGCGGGUUGCUGGGCUGACACUGACGCUGAAGCGCGAAAGCCAGGGGAGCGAACGGGAUUAGAUACCCCGGUAGUCCUGGC